CCUAUCUAGCGGCCGUGGCCACGUCUCCUUUUUUGCGUCUAUUAACAGUGGGAGAAAGGGAUAAGCCCCGAGCGAUCCGUUUGGCUCCACUCCUCUCUCUUUCCCUUUUCCUCUGCCUCGUGCUCUCCUUUCCUCGCCGCCGCCACCCCAACCUAGGCGGCUCCUCUCCUCGUCGAACCAGCAGCCUCCUCUCCAUCUUCACGCGCAGCCUCCUUCCCACCGGGCUUCGCCUCUUCGGGCGGCGGGACGCAGUGGCUCUAUUGAUGGCAGAUGGGGCGACAACGGCGACGCUCCUCGUCGCCCAUGGCGGUCGGCGGCGCUCUGGCCGUGGAGGCCUGCUCCUCAUGCUCCUCCUCUACCCGCUCCACCUCUCCGCGGCCGCGCCCGAGUCCGAGUGCGCCAAGUUCGCCGGCCCGCGCGCGCACCUGCGCUGGCUCCGCUUCAUCCGGCCCGUGCCGCGCUGCGUUCGCCGCGUCGCCUCCUCCUGCGCUACGCCGGCUCCGCCGCCCCCGACCACGCCCCUGCGCAUGCCGCUGCAGCACCCCCGCGCGAUCGUCGGCUCGCUCCGGCCGGCUCCGCCUCUGCCCGGGGCCGGGUGCUCCUCUCCUCGCGCGCCCUCGCGGUCGCAAGAGGCGGAUAUGUACGGAGGAUCCACGAGCUUGGUGCCAUCCAUCCCGUCCGGCGACGCUCACCCCCUCUUCUCCAACGUGUCUGUGAUCUAUUCACUUGCGUCUUCACUGCCUCAAGUGCGCAGGUGAUUCUGCAAACCCCUCUCUAAUUUCUCUCUCUCUCUCUCUCCCUCUCUUGAUUCGGUUGUUGCGUUGCAAGAAAUAUUAUUGUGCAGAGGUGGCUGCAGCUAUGCACAUCUGUUUUUGAGGCUGCAGAUGCGACCACCAGUUGUUUGUAUAAAUGCUCAAGGAGGACUGCUCUGGAGAGGACAACACGUGUGUUUGAAAGAGAGGGAUGGAAAAGAGGGGGCUGGAGUAAGAGAAGAGGAAGGAGUGGAGCCACAUGUUAUUUCUUUGUCAUCGACGUCAUCCCACCAUUAUAGAGACUUUCUUGGAUGACAUGCCUCCCAUACUCUCGCCCCUUGUGCUCCAUCUGUGUUGGUACCCUUUCAUGGUUUCUUGUCUCCUCUUCUUUCAUGAUUCAUUCAUUUCAAAUACUAAUUCAGGUUGUUAUACUAAUUUGAUUGAUGUGGAUGGUGUAAUAAUUCAGGUCGUGCAUGAUGGUGUGCUGAUUUCCUUGAUGCCUCAUCAGGUUUCACUUUUUUGAUACAUUGAUUGGUUACCAAUUUGAUGCAAAUAGCCAAAAUGAAUGGAUAUUACUUGUGGUCAGACUAAAUUUUCCAUGUUCUUUGUGUGUGAUUAUGCUCAAGUUUUGGAAGAAUUGGGCUAAGGGGUGAUUGUGCUCAGGUUUUGAUGCAGGUUCUUUUGAAUUCUGAAACUUUGGUUUGUGAGAUUCAGACAAUUUUAGGAAACACAUGGAAAGGAGUCCAAAUGGGCUCGGCGUACAUGGUUUUCAGUUAACAUGUCCUAUUUUUGCAGUGAGUGAUCGACGAGGGAAGCACAAGGAAAAGAGCAAGCCAUGAAAGAUGCAGUGAUUGAUGGAUUGGGCAACUUGUUCCUGCUAGUUUCUCUAUUGGCAAAGAACAAAAUCCUAUUAAUUAUUUUUUGUGUAUGCAUAAUGUAUAGUUAAUCAAUUGGCUGUGUAUGGUGACAUUAGUAAUGACCUUGACAGUUACAAGUGAAAGGUCAUUCUCAGACCGAAAAAGCAGCUGCGUUGCGCGAAUCCCAGAUCUUGUAAUGACCUCGAACUGUAUUUACACCGGCUUAGAGACCCCUCAGCUGGUGAAUCGGUUGUCCAUGGUGCGUCAGCCAUGAAAGAUGCAGAAGAAAAAUCAUGUUGAUAAAAGCACACACACUCACCAGGUUCAUCAGGUUGCUGUGAGUGUGGCCAUCAUGGCUAUCCCAGGAGCAGGUCCAUUGGUUGCUUCAUUUUCAGCUAUAUGAUAGCUCGGGCAUGCUCACCAGUUGUUCCGUUAAAAUGACAAAACCGACUGAAUUUUAUCUCUUAUAUGUGUUACUAAAUACUAGAGGUGAUUAUUUUCUUUCGGGGGAUUACAGUUUUAUAAGCUUUAUGCCUUUUGAGACUUUGAGGUCCAAACUAAUUAGUCUUUGAGAUCUCAAUGCUUCUAUAUAGAUAUAAUUAGUAUUUCUCACAAUGAGCAUCUCCGAAGCUGCAGCCUAUGCUAAAAGUAGUGCUUAUAGCCGUAGUAGGCGAUACAUCAUUAGAACUAAUGUGUGACACUUAUUUUGCAACAACAACAUCCAAGUUUUUCAACAUUUUACAAUCUUACUAAUGUGUGCCGCCAAGUUUCUCUAUUUUAGAUGGUUCUGUCUUUUUACUUCUGAAAAUGGGUGUGUGUUCUAUUUAGCUAACUAUAAUUCAUUGUUGUAGUCGAAGAUGUUCCCAGGCUACCAUCUGGUUUAGAACUCUACAAUUCACAUCAAUACUGAAUUUGUUUUGCAACUGAAUUUGCAUAUUAUUUCCAAUAUUGCAUCUCAUUGCACUUUGAAGAUACACCGGACUAUCAGUGGCGAUUUAAUUCCACUUAUUUCUUAGCUACAAUAUUCCAUAGAAAAAACAUGAACUUUAAUAUCUGAGUGAUUAGUGUGCUUUGUAUAUCUGAUGUAUCGGGGAACUCUAAUAUCUGAGUUAUAUAUAUGGUUGUCUGGCAAGAUUGGUUUUCACCUAUCUAGCUCCUCAGCUCAAGGUUUUUAAGAUGAUACAUUUCUUGAUACAUCAACUACCCAUAAACGUACCUCAUGUUUUCUUAAAGGACAACUGAUAUCUCAAUCAGCUCACCCUUUUCUGCCAAAAACCUAUCAUCAUGUUCCUUACAAUAAGUUAUGCUUCUGUUUGUACAUUUGCAGCUUAUGGUGCUGCAUCUUUGGUUCUUUUUAUUCAAUUCAGAGCAGGUGACAAUGCCUUAUAUUGAUUGUUCUGGAUAGGUAUUUAGUCGUAAGAGAUAUCACCUAUGUGUCUCCAGAAAAGCAAAAACAACAAUUCACUGUUGAUUUACUUUGCUAUGAUUGCUCCCAUUAGAUUGUCCUUAAAUCAUGUGCAAAACUGAAGUAUUGUGUUGGCUGACUGUCAGCCUGACAAAUGAGAUGGGAUGAUGAUGCAGAGUGCUAAAAGGCCUAAUGGGUUAUCUCCUUGGUAGAUUAAGUUUGUUGGAUUGAUUUCAGGCCGUUGAAAAUAGAUGACACUAUGCCUCCCCCAAUUACAUGUGUUGCUUCCAAGUAGGACCCAUUUGCAAGUAAGAAAGUAAUAAUGAAUUUUCUACUCUUUGUUCUCUGCUGAACUUUCUUUUCUCUUGCCAUUUUGUAUGGUAGUCUUUCAUAGAAUUUUGUGAUAUCUACCUGACUCCACAAGGUCAUGCAACAUUAAGAAUUGCUGGGUUUGAAAAAUGCAGGAUGGAAUUUAUUGUUAAUUAAUUAUCUCUAUCUGAAGCAAGACAUUUUUAGUACACUGUUGAAUAGAGUUGAUGUAUUAGCAUGAGUAACAUUGCGGCAUUCUAAGGGUUGGUGCUAGAACCCCACCUAGAAACCACUGUUUUUCCAGCAACUAUGUGGUUCAUAUGUUGAUGGGAGGAGAACCAGGAGGUAGUGCAAUAUCCUUAUUAGUUAUACUCAGGGAUGCAAAAUCUUCAUCUGAUGAUUCCACCCCUUUACAUGACACUAGCUACCGCACAGUAGAAAGUGUCUCGCCGAUUCUCUUUACGACACCAAAUGACCGAUUAAUGACUGCACUCAUAGAGAACAUAACAAGGUAUUUUAGGAAGUGCUUGGACCAGGUUCAAAUUUUUGACAGUCUUAGGCACAUUUUUUACAGUGUUGGUUUCAAGUUUUUUUCUGACAUAGUUAAGACUUUCUAAAAUGCAGUCUUGAACUACACGUGCUCUGUACAAAGCUUGUUUAGUUCUCUAAAAUCUGCACAUGUUAGAUACAGUUUGAGAGAACAUGUGCAGAUUUGUGAGAACUAAAAAAACUUUGUCCAGAACAUGUCCAUUGAUAGUAAGAUUGUUUGUGAUAAUGAAAGGAGACAAUGCGUUUGAUAUAGCUUGUCAUGAGAUAAUGAAACAAUAGUGUUUAUUUGGUCACCUGCAAGAUGAUGAUGUGAAACGAACGGCUAUUUGCGCCUUUCAGAGUUUCUACCAUUUAAUAGUUUCCCAUAACAAAAUAUUUGCUAAUAGUUAGACGACCUUGUGAUUUUUGUUCCUAUGGGUAAACAGAUAUAAGGUUAAUCGUGUAAGCAUAGCUUGAGCAAAAGCACAUGAGUUAGCUUCUGGAUUGGUAGCUAAAAAUGAGAUACUUAUGGUUGUUGAUGCCUUCCUUUUUUGUAGUAACAUCCAUGUGUCCAGCAUAUGUAGAACAUUAGAUUUUUCUUGGCUGAUUGUUGUAGUUCGUUCUCAAGGUUUGGAAAUCUUUAGCUAUAUUCCUUGUCUCAUGCAAGCAGGAGCAAUAUCUUCUUUAUGCUGUGUGCCGCCAAGUUUCUCUAUUUUAGAUGGUUGUGUCUUUUCGCUUCUAAAAAGGGAUAUGUAUUUUAUUAAUCUGACUAUAGUUUGUGGUAGGUACAUGCUGAAAGAUGUUCUGAGGCUAGCACCUGUUUAGAAGUUUUGCAAUUCACAACAAUACCUCAUAAUUGUGAUUUGAUGUCCAGAAUGUUAAUUGAAGAAUGAGUCUAUAAACUGAACUGCAUUGUAUUUUGUAAUAUAUCCUUAUAUAUGGUGCUUGUGGCGUUUUUUUCGUAAUUAUAAGUUUUUAGAACAAUUCGCCUUCAAUCACUUGCGACCUAGACCAUCUUUUUCUGGACUAAUUGAUUCUAGUUUAUUUAUAUUUGUAAAAACCUCAUUGAUUCAGGUUUCUUUAUAUUUGUUCAGGUUUCGGUCAACGGAAACAGGACUGUUGUAUGCACUUCUUUUACGAAGAUGUACUUGGUGUUGCUUGGUAGGGAGAAAUGAAGUGUGUGCCUCAUUCUGAAUUCUAUCGAGAAGCAACUAUUUUAGUUAUAUGUUAAUUUCUAGGGCACACGAGGUCAGCUUAAAUAUGGAAGUCUGCUGAUAGUGUUCCCACGCUUAUGCUUCAUCCAGGGGAGUGUGCUGACAGUGGAUGAUUUUUUUUUUUUUGUAUAAUUGGUUUGGACAUCAUAAGUACAUACUACUCCCUUCUUCCCAAAAUUCUUGUCUUAGAUUCGUCUAGAUUGGGAUGUAUCUAAUACUAAAAGGCGACUCGAUAUCUAAGACAUGUAUUUUUGGACGGAGGGAGUAUUUCAGUACAAUUUAGGCUAUGGCAGUGUGUUGGAUCCCUAUGCUUCAUUUAGUAUACGCCCUCCCUCCUCGCCUUUUGUCUAGCUUCUCAAUCAAUACCUGGGUAAUUAUGGGGGAAUGUAGCCUCUUCUCUGGUCAAACUAUCGGUCCUUGUUGCGUGUAUCCUUCUUAAUCACCACCUGGGUAAUCAAUUAAUUAGUACAUGAUCAUACAUGUUGAUCUCCUAUAUUCUCAGUGCCUGGGAAGUGAUGCAUGCAUGCAUGCAUGCUCUCAAGUUUAGAUAAGCUAAAACCCCUAUUAUAUUCAGAUAUUUUGUUAUCCUGUGGUGUACACACAAUUUUAGCAUUACCUAACCAGCAUACAACAUCAGUUACUAUCACCGUCAUAUAUCUCACAACAAAUUGAAAGAUGCAUAGACACAUGUAGAAUCAUACACUGCACUUGCUUACAAUGUCUUCCUCUGUUGUCGGCAAACUCAAAACCCCUGUCAAUUUUUCUGUUUUCUCAUAAACGUCACUUGCUUACAAUGUCUUCCUAUUUGUUCUCAGUCCGCCAUGAUGAAAAAUGUUAGGAUCCCAACAAAAGUGCUUCUCGAUGCUAUGAUGCAACAACUUGGCCUACCAAAUGUAGUGUAGUCAACUCAACACAAAAGGCAACGGCCAUUGGUCUUGACGCAACGAUUCAGUUCUAUCCAUCAGUUCUAUCCAUCUAAGGAGCAAUUACGCAAUGGUCUUCCAAAGUACUCCCUCCGCUUCUAAAUUUUUGUCUUAAAUUUGUCUAAAUACGGAUGUAUCAAGUCACUUUUUAGUAUUAGAUACAUCCGUAUCUAGACUAAUCUAAGACAAGAAUUUUGAGACGGAGGAAGUAAUCAAUAUCCAUCUCUGUCUAUGGAAAACUCAAAGCCGUAGAAGAUCCACUGGCACAUGAAGCUCUUAAAUGCAUGAUAGCCCCUUACAGCAAGGUCUUGCAAAACCACAACUAUGGUAAGUUGCAGUUGAACAAAAAAAAUCUUUACAACACGAGCUCAAAGAAAAAUAAGGGAUAAUAGAUUAUCUAAGCAGCAACUGGUGUAGUGGUCUGGGUAGAGAUCACACAAUGCCCGAAGACAACAACCUCAUAACACCCACCAUUUUAUAUACCGAUGGCACGUGCAGACUCUACUGAUAUUCCUCACUACUCACCAUGAGCAAAUGAUCAAAGCUAUCUAUUUGAUGCAUCUCUACAUAUGUAUCUUACUCCCUCCGUUCCUAAAUGUAAGUCUUUGUAAAGAUUCCACUAUAAACCGCAUACGGAUGUAUAUAGAUGCAUUUCAAAUUUAGAUUCAUUCAUUUUGCUCCGUAUGUAGUCCACCUAGUGGAAUCUCUACAAAGACUUAUAUUUAGGAACGGAGGGAGUACUUGAUAAAGGCAAUGUAAAUAUGUAUGUAUCGACUUUAUACCUAAAUAUCUAUUUACUUGUGCUCCAAUCAGUACCUACAUAUUUUAACAUGCAUGGUUUGAAUGCUUGGUUUGCCCUCGCCCUUUGCGCCAUGGGCGCAACAACUAAGUCUUGGCUGGAAUACCUCACCUCGCGGCUUGCCGCUCCUCUGUAAUUGUGCUCUAUAUAUAUCAUGUGACUAGAAUCAAGGUUAGUGUUUUCUUUUGGUGCCCAUUUUCUACUUAUUUCCAGAUCUUUGUGUUUCGAUGCGAUCCCACAUGCUAAUACGAAGUUUCUCAUGCUACAUGGCUUUUCUGGGAGCAAAAUCUGAUACAGUCUGCACUUCCAUGCUUUGGGUAAGGCAUUAUUAAUCUUUUUCUGCCUUUUUAACAGAACUAAAAUUUUCAUCAUAUGAUCUCUUUUUUCCUGAUGGCUGAUGCUCGGAAAUAUAGCAUAUGACAAGCAGACAGGUAAAGAGGUUGAAGUUGGAUUAGCAGGGCAUGGUCCACUAGCCAAUUCUUUAUCUCUACUAGGUGGCGUCGAGUGACUUUGUUAAGCAGACAUUUGACCUCCGCAUUAUGAUGUUAAUUUUCAUAAAUGCAGAAAUAGGUUGAUCUGUUAAUUCGCACUGGAAUUUCGGUUAAUCCGUUCCUGGUCUCUUGCUAUAUUUGCAUAACGUUGCAGGCCGUAUUGUUCUUAUGAUAAGGCCAUUCUCGAGGCGAUUGUACCAGCAGAUGAACGUAUUCCUGGGCGAGUUGUUAUGGCUUCAGCUGAUCUGGCUUGUGGGCUGGUGGUCAGGUAUUAAGGAUCUAAUUCUCGAUUCUUGCUUCGGUCUGAGCUGUGCGAUUUAUGUUUCGUCAGAGGUUUCUGUACUAACCAUCGUUAAAUAAGGUGAGGUAUGUACUUUAGCAAACUAGGCAACACUCAGCUCUACAUUCCUGUUUUUUUUUGGGAAAAAUAAUAAUUAGCAAUACAGCUCCUAACUUGCAUAUGCUUCGUUUGUACAUUUGAGUUACUGAAACUGUGGGUCCUCACCUGAUGAUCAGGAAGUAUGGCGGUUGAGAUGCAAAUAAACAGACAUAAUCUGUAUAGUCUUACGCUUAGUUCGUAUAGUCGUAGGCUUAGUUUAUUUAUUUACUUCAAUGGCGCCAUUUGAAUUGGUUGACCGUAGUUAUCUGUUUCUGGAAUUAGCAUUAUUUCAUGAGUGAUGAAUGGUUGUGCCAUGAUUUCACAUGUCCACACUUCCACUUCAACUUGUGUGAUUUUAUUAUUGGGCAUUUAUGAAACUCAUUGUCAAUUCUGUUGUACAGGGUACCUCAGCUACUUAUGCUUUGCUAGACAAUGAGGGUAUGUAGAUAGCAUGUAUGGUUUUUACAUUGUUUUGCGCAGGUUGAGAUGCAUCACAUGAUGUUUUCCUUUUACAUUUAUGGGUAUUACAGAGUCCUUUCUUUUUCCACUAGGGGCAGUAGCAGUGCCAUUCGAUUCGAAGGGCAAAGAGUUGAUUACAAAGGGGUAGCAUUCAGGAUAUAUACACACAAGAGUAUAAAACCAAAUUAUAUGAUGUAAUUGACCACUAUUUCUGUUAACUUCUCCUGUACACAAUGUUCACA